rnacentral:rRNA from 1 species
AGUUGACUCUCGGCAACGGAUAUCUUGGUCCUCGCAUCGAUGAAGAACGUAGCGAAAUGCGAUACUUGGUGUGAAUUGCAGAAUCCCGUGAACCAUCGAGUUUUUGAACGCAAGUUGCGCCCUAAGCUUCCGGGCCGAGGGCAAGCCUGCGUGGGCGUCAAGU